UCAGGGCAUUGCUGUGAUGAUGACGAUGGUCCUUACUACCCGUCAUCCCCACCGCCCUACGAAGAGGAGGACCACUGCUGUGGCUGCUGCGGCUGCCGCUGCUCUGGGUUCUUCAGAGGAUGUUUGGCCGCUCUCUGCUGCUGCUGCGUGCUGGAGGAAUGCUGCGGCUUCUUAUUCUGAGAUGUGUGAUCAAACUGGCAUCCAGUUCCAAGCUAUCGUUUUCAAAUUGAUGUAAUAAUAAGAGAAGAGUGUUGAUAAGCUUCCAGACAGUGUUUGUGUUUUUCAUAAAAAAAAAUAAAGGUGUAUAUGCGUACAAUUUGGACGCCAGAUCCUUCUGUCUUUCCAGCUUGAAUGUUUCAUAAUUAUUUCCCAACAUCAAA